rnacentral:rRNA from 1 species
GAUGAACGCUGGCGGCGUGCCUAAUACAUGCAAGUCGAGCGAACGGACGAGAAGCGUGCUUCACUGAUGUUAGCGGCGGACGGGUGAGUAACACGUGGAUAACCUACCUAUAAGACUGGGAUAACUUCGGGAAACCGGAGCUAAUACCGGAUAAUAUUUUGAACCGCAUGGUUCAAAAGUGAAAGACGGUCUUGCUGUCACUUAUAGAUGGAUCCGCGCUGCAUUAGCUAGUUGGUAAGGUAACGGCUUACCAAGGCAACGAUGCAUAGCCGACCUGUGAGGGUGAUCGGCCGCACUGGAACUGAGAUGCGGUCCAGACUCCUACGGGAGGCAGCAGUAGGGAAGCUUCCGCAAUGGGCGAAAGCCUGACGGAGCAACGCCGCGUGAGUGAUGAAGGUCUGCGGAUCGUAAAACUCUGUUAUUAGGGUAGAACAUAUGUGUAAGUAACUGUGCACAUCUUGACGGUACCUAAUCAGAAAGCCACGGCUAACUACGUG